rnacentral:lncRNA from 1 species
AUCUUAAGUUGGUUGCAGUCAGUCACAGACAGACGUGAUAUUACACGUCAAAAAAGUUUAACAACGGAGAUCGGAUAACAAGUUAACUGUUUUUAAAUAAUUUCAGCUGAAGUUUUCAUGUACCUGGCCAACUAGGUGCUCGUGACAAUAGAAAUGAAAUGGUCUAAUCCAAUAAUGCAAGCUCACAAGUCACAACCUAUGUCUUCUGAAGAAAAAUCAUUUCUGUUGCAGAUUUUGCAUUUAGACUGAAUGAUAACCAUUUUGUUGCCCAUCCAAGGAUAAGGAAAAGGCCAACACCACCAACACGCCAACUAGGUUUAGAGUUUAGCCGUUUACGUUCGCGUAGUUGCUGUCCGGUGUGGCACGUUGUUGCAGCCUAUGUUGGUGAAAGAUCUUUCUGCAUCAAGUUCAACUGGUCGUUCCUUGGUGGUGGUGUUUUGUUACUAAAAUUGCAUCAUCAAUCAUCAUAUUGUUAAAUUUUCAUUGCAUCUAUGCAGUUAUCGUUCAAGAGUUAAGAAGCAACAAAAACAAUUAUGGGAU